UAUUUUUCAAUGGGCGAAAGCCUGAAAAUGCGACGCCGCGUGCGGGAUGAAGGCCUUCGGGUCGUAAACCGCUGUCAGAUCGAACGAAUACCUGUUCGGUGAAUAAUCGGAUCGGUUGACGGUACGAUCAGAGGAAGCCACGGCCAACUCCGUGCCAGCAGCCGCGGUAAGACGGAGGUGGCGAGCGUUGCUCGGAUUCAUUGGGUGUAAAGGGUCGGUAGGCGGUUUGGUAAGUGCCAGGUGAAAUCCCACGGCUUAACCGUGGAACGUCCGGGUAGACUGCCAAACUUGAGGACUGGAGGGGCAGGCGGAAUUCCCGGUGGAAGAGUGAAAUCUGUAGAUAUCGGGAGGAACACCAGUGGCGAAGGCGGCCUGCUGGACAUCCCUGACGCUAGCGACGAA
rnacentral:rRNA from 1 species